GGAAACUUGGAAACUACUGUUAGAUCGAGCAAUGAACAUUCGAGAUUCGUCUAUGUCACCAUGAGUAAAAUUUUAACUCAUGAAUGAUCUGAGAGUUAAAUUUUAACUCACGAUAACGUGGACGAAUCUCGGACGUCCUUGCUCGAUCCAACGGUAGUUUCCAAGCUUCC
rnacentral:pre_miRNA from 1 species